rnacentral:rRNA from 1 species
AUUGAACGCUGGCGGCAGGCCUAACACAUGCAAGUCGAGCGGAGCGGCGGACGGGCGAGUAAUGACUAGGAAUCUGCCUGGUUGAGGGGGAUAACGUCCGGAAACGGACGCUAAUACCGCAUACUAUCAGAUGAGCCUAGGUCGGAGUAGCUAGUUGGUGGGGUAAAGGCGUACCAAGGCGACGAUCCGUAACUGGUCUGAGAGGAUGAUCAGCCACACUGGAACUGAGACACGGUCCAGACUCCUACGGGAGGCAGCAGUGGGGAAUAUUGGACAAUGGGCGAAAGCCUGAUGCAGCCAUGCCGCGUGUGUGAAGAAGGCCUUCGGAUUGUAAAGCACUUUAAGUUGGGAGGCGUUACCCACAGAAUAAGCACCGGCUAACUUCGUGCCAGCAGCCGCGGUAAUUC